rnacentral:lncRNA from 1 species
UGCAAUCCCAGCCUACACUAGCUCCAUCCCAUCUCCUUUUACACAGGCAUCUCUCCUAAUAAAAUCCUGGCAUGUUUAAUCUGCUCUUGAUGUCUGCUUCUCAGAGGACCAGAAGUAAAAGAGAGGAAGAAGCUGCAUUUCAGAGGUAUUAGUAACUGUCCCAGAUCACAUAGCUCAUACUGGCAGAGCCAGGAUUCAAACCUGCAUGACCACCCAGCACAACCUCCCUGUAAAGGCCCUGAAAUGUCCAGUAACAGCUGGCUCGAGGACUGCCCACUUAUCAUUCACCCUUUGUCAGGGGUUGGGCAGCACCUGCAGCAGACACCCUGGCAAGAUCUUGCUAUGUUUCCCAGGCUGGACUUCAACUCCUGGGCUCAAGUGAUCCUCCUGUCUCGGCCUCCCAAGUACCUGGGACUACAGAUGUGCACCGCUUAGUCAAUUUUUCUUUAUUUUUAUUAAAGUAUAAUUGGCUUAUAUUAAAUUGCAUAUAUUAACAUGUAAUAUUUAAUAAAUCUUGAUAUUUAUGCACCCAUUAAUCUAUCACACUAUUAAAUAUAUGUGCAAUGUAUUUUUCUCUCCUCAAAUUUUUCUUGUGUUUUUUUUUAAUUCUUUCCUUCUUCCCCUCCCUGUCCAACACUCCUUCUGCCUCCAGUUCUCUAGUAACUAUUAAUCUGAUUUCUGUCAUUACAUAUCAGUUGUACUAUUUAGAAUUUUAUAUAACUGGAAUUGUCAACUAUGUACUCUUAUUUUUGCCUGGUUUCUUUCCCAAGAAUAAUGAAGAUUCAUCUAUGCUGUUACACAUAUCAACAGUUCUCUUAUCAUUGCAGUGUAGUAUUUCAGUAUAUAGAUUACUAUUCAUAUGCUGAUGGUAUUUUAGUGGUUUGGAGGUGUUUUAUAUAAAGCUUCCAUAAAUAUUUGUGUACAAUUUUUUUGUGUGGACACAUGCUUUCAUUUCUCUUAGCAGUAACAAGGUUAGAAUAUAUGGCAGGUAUAUGUUUAACUUUUAAAUAAACUAACAAAGUGUUUUAUUGGGGAACCUGCCCCGAUAGCUACAUAGGUUCUUUUCUAUUUUCCCUAAGCAUCGGCCAGUUUGAGAAAUAAGGGGACAGAGUACAAAAGAGAGAAAUUUUAAAGCUGGGCUUCUGGGGGAGACAUCACAUGUCGGUAGGUUCUGUGAUGCCCCACAAGCCGCAAAACCAGCAAGUUUUUAUUAGGGACUUUCAAAAGGGGAGGGAGUGUACGAAUAGGGUGUGGGUCACAAAGAUCACGUACUUCACAAGGUAAUAGAAUAUCACAAGGCAAAUUGAGGCAGGGUGAGAUCACAGGACCACAGGACCAGGGCAAAAUUAAAAUUGCUAAUGAAUUUUCGGGCACCAUUGUCAUUGAUAACAUCUUAUCAGGAGACAGGGUUUUGAGAGCAACCCGUCUGACCAAAAUUUUUUAGGCGGGAAUUUCCUCUUCCUAAUAAGCCUGGAAGGACUAUGGGAGACUGGGGUUUAUUUCAUCCCUACUGUCUUGACCAUAGAAGAUGGCCACACCCAAGGGGGCCAUUUAUAGACCCACCCUCAGGGGCGUAUUCUCUUUCUCAGGGAUGUUCCUUGCUGAGAAAAAUAAUUCAGCAAUAUUUCUCCCAUUUGCUUUUGAAAGAAGAGAAAUAUGGCUCUGUUCCACCUGGCUCACAGAUGGUCAGAGUUUAAGGUUAUCUCUCUUAUUCUCUGAACAAUUGCCGUUAUCCUGUUCUUUUUUCAAGGUGCCCAGAUUUCAUAUUGUUCAAACACACAUGCUUUACAAUUUGGGCAGUUAACACAAUUAUCACAGGGUCCUGAGGUGACAUACUUCCUCCUCAGCUGGCAGGAUUAAGAGAUUAAAGUAAAGACAGGUCUAGGAAAUCACAAGGGUAUUGACUGGGGAAGUGAUAAGUGUCCAUGAAAUCUUCACAAUUUAUGUUUAGAGAUUAUGGCAAAGACAGGCAUAAGAAAUUAUAAAAGUAUUAAUUUGGGGAUCUAACAAAUGUCCAUGAAAUCUUCACAAUCCACGUUCUUCUGCCAUGGCUUUAGCCAGUCCCUCUGUUUGGGGUCCCUGACUUCCCGCAACAGAGUUUUCCAAAAUACUGGUAUCAUUUUAUAUUCCCGUCAUCAGUAUUUAACAGUUACAGGUCAAAUCCUGGCCAACACUUGGUAUUGUCAGGCUUCUUAGCUUUUUAAAAUGUAUUAAGUAUGUAGUCACUUAAUUGCAAAAGACCAUUUUGCUUUUAAUUUUUUCCCUAAUAAAUUAUAAUGUUGAUUAUCCUUUCAUGGUCUUAUUUGCCAUCCAUAUGUCUUAUUGAUAAAAUGUCUGCUUACAUUCAUUACAAAUUUAUACUAGGAUUUCAACAUUUUUAAAUCGUGGUAAAAUACACAUAAAUAAUAUAUCACUUUAACUAUUUUUAAGUGUACAGUAUACAGUGUUAAGUAUAGCCACAUGGUUGGGUAAUCUUUAUAACUUUUUCUUUUUGCAAAACUGAAACUCUAUACCCAUUAAAUAAACCUUAUUUUUUCCUCUCGUCAGCCCUCACAAUCACCAUGCUACUUUCUGUCUCUUUGAAUGUUACUACUCUGGAUACUUCAUAUAAGGGAAUCAUGUUGUAUUUGUCUUUCUGUUAUUGGCUUAUUUCACUUAGUAUAAUGUCCUCAAGGUUCAUCCAUAUUGUAAUACAUGUCAAAAUUUCCUUUAUUUUUAAGGCUGAAUAAUAUUUUGCACACACACACAUGCACGCACACACUGUUUUGUUCAUACAUUCAACCAUUGAUGGAUAUUUGGGUUUUUUCAACCUUUUGGAUACUGUGAAUAAUCCUGUUAUGAACAAAGGAGUACUAUUAAUAUAUUUUAAGUUCUUUUGGAAAUAUAUCUAGGAGUGAAAUUGCUGGAUUA